rnacentral:rRNA from 1 species
CACAGUUGCUGCAUGGCUGUCGUCAGCUCGUGUCGUGAGAUGUCGGGUUAAGUCCCUUAACGAGCGAAACCCUUAUCUUUAGUUGCCAGCGUGUAAUGGCGGGGACUCUAGAGAGACUGCCGGUGUUAAACCGGAGGAAGGCGGGGAUGACGUCAAGUCCUCAUGGCCUUUAUGACCAGGGCUGCACACGUCCUACAAUGCGUCAUACAAAGGGAAGCGACCUCGCGAGAGCAAGCAAAUCCCAAAAAGUGGCGCUCAGUUCGGAUUGCAGGCUGCAACUCGCCUGCAUGAAGCCGGAAUCGCUAGUAAUCGUGGGUCAGCAUACCACGGUGAAUAUGUUCCUGAGCCUUGUACACACCGCCCGUCAAGCCACGAAAGUGGGGUGCGCCCGAAGUCGCCGAGCUAACCCGUAAGGGAAGCAAGCGCCGAAGGUGACUCCGCGAUUGGGACUAAGUCGUAACAAGGUAGCC